CACCUCGUAGCUCAGAUGGUAGAGCACCCGAUUUCCGAUCACUUGGUCGCGGGUUCGAUUCCGGGUGUGGACGA
rnacentral:tRNA from 1 species